GAGCGCCAGCAGUAGGCACUCGAUGCGGCGCUCCCCCCGUCACUCCUCCUUCUACGUCCGCUGCAGGAGACGAACAUGCUGUGUUGGGAUGGAGGAGAAGGGCAUGGGGAUGUUAGUCACCAGUGACGAGCCUGCCCAGAUCUACUUCUCCACAGAGGCUUGACGUACAUAUCCAUGACUACUUGCUCAAGUGAAAUAUCAAAAUUGCCAACAUGUUCCUGGUAGAGGGGGAGAUGCUUC